rnacentral:rRNA from 1 species
CCUUACUAUAAGUGUUGUCUAAAUUACUGGCGACAGAAGACUCGGUAACACCAGAAACGCGAACGUUAGUCGUCUUAAACAGGCGUAAAGGGUGAGUAGGCAGCUUAUAAAUUUUUAAAUUAAGCUAAGCUAUAUAAGUUAAUAGAAAAAAAAAAUAAAAGAAUCAAGAACCUAUUAAUUUAUAAUUAAAAAAUUUAAUUUAAAGAAAAUAAAAGCUAGAAUCUUAUUGAGGAUAAACCAAAUAAUGCUUAUGAGUAGGGAUGAUUUCUUUAGAUACGAAGUAGGAUA